rnacentral:rRNA from 1 species
UACGGAAGGCAGCAGUGGGGAAUAUUGCACAAUGGGCGCAAGCCUGAUGCAGCCAUGCCGCGUGUAUGAAGAAGGCCUUCGGGUUGUAAAGUACUUUCAGUCGUGAGGAAGGUGUUAAGGUUAAUAACCUUAGCAAUUGACGUUAGCGACAGAAGAAGCACCGGCUAACUCCGUGCCAGCAGCCGCGGUAAUACGGAGGGUGCGAGCGUUAAUCGGAAUUACUGGGCGUAAAGGGCACGCAGGCGGUUAAUUAAGUUGGAUGUGAAAUCCCCGGGCUUAACCUGGGAAUGGCAUUCAAGACUGGUUAGCUAGAGUCUUGUAGAGGGGGUAGAAUUCCAUGUGUAGCGGUGAAAUGCGUAGAGAUGUGGAGGAAUACCGGUGGCGAAGGCGGCCCCUGGGACAAAGGACUGACGCUCAUGUGCGAAAGCGUGGGGAGCAAACGAGGAUUAGAUACC